UCGAUUGAGUGUUGGUGUGUAAUAUCCAACUUCUGGUGUGUAAUAUCCAGAGUCUAAGGGCUUCUUAUUUGGUGUGUCAUAUCCAGAUCAGUCGCCUAGGAGUAUCAAGAGAUCAUCCAUCCCUCUUGUGUCACCAUUCGAUCCACAUACCUUGAGAAACUUGAGUCUUUUGAUUCGUUUCUGCAAGGAUUAUCCCUUCUGUUCCAGAGCAUCAUCCUAGGAUCUCAUUAUGUGGUAUCAGAGCAACUCUGGAACGGAAGUGUUAUGAUUUCUAACUGUUGUCGAUUUGAUCUCUCCAUAUUCUGUUUUGAUUUUGAUCGAUCUGUGUUUCUAUUGUUUAAAUCUGUUAGAUCUAAGUGUUUUGAUCACGAAUCUGUUGAAGUCUCUUCAUAUACUCUUUGAUUUCGUGUUGAUCUGUGUUCCUUGUGAAGAAAUCUAUCGAAUUUGGCUUAAUUAGAUCUUGUUUUGGGUAUUAGACUGUUCGGAUCCUUGUUCAUCAAGUUAUCCGAUUGCUUGAUCUGAAUCUGUUUGUUGAUUGCAGUCGAUCUGUUCUUAUUGUUUUAGAUCUGUUCUUGCUUGAUCUAAAUCUCAUCAUCUGUUAUCAUAUCAUCUCUGAUCGUGUGUUGAUUGAUAUUUUGAAACCUAAUCCGUGUAGUGCAAGUUUGAUUGAUUUCGUUUUGAUAUUUUUGUUUUGAAAAAUCUGUGCUUGAAUCUGAAAUCGAAAUCUAUCUCUCCAUUUUUUUUGUUCUAGUUUCGAAAUCAAUCUGAUCUGAUAGGCUUAAGAUUUCAAUUCUGUUCUGAUUAGUUUUGAUCUCUUUUAAAUCAUUGGUUGAGUUUGAAUUUGUUCUGAGAAUUGUCUAAAGUUUUAAGCUUCAAUUUGAAUCUCUGAUUUUGCAAAUUGGUUGUUUGUUUUCUCUGUAGAACUAUUUACUGGCUUAGUCUUUCUCUUGUCUCAGGUACCAUGGCAGGAGAUCAAAAAGGAGAACUCAGCAAGAAAGAAAAGCUUUUUCUUGAAGAAUUCACAGCCAGUCUGUAUAAAGCCUGCAAAGAUCAAAUGAGAAAAUUCAGACAACACAUACAUCAGCAAAGGAAAGGCAGAUCAUCCAGAGAUGAGUACAAGAAAAAGGAGUUUGAUCAGAUGGACAAAAACCGGAAGCAUGCUGGAUUGAAAUAUCAAAUUCCUUCUUUUCAUGGCAAGGCUGAUCCUGCUGCAUAUGUGGAAUGGGAAGAGAAGAUGGAGUUGAUUUUCGACUAUCAAAGCUAUGCUGAAGUAAGGAAGGUUCAAUUAGCCACUGCUGAGUUUUGUGGUUAUGCUUCAAGCUGGUGGAAGCAAUUGGUGUCGUCUAGGAGACACUAUGGAAAAGAACCUGUUGCAACCUGGCUUAAAUUAAGGGCUUUGAUGCGUCAUAAGUAUGUUCCAAGACAGUACCACAAGGAAGUGCUUCGAAAACAGUCUGAAACAAAGCCAUGCUCUGCAAACUCAGUCCAGGAACAACAAGGCAGGAUCAGAUCAAGAUCAACCGGUGUUAUUGGUUUACCUAGCAAGACAACGAGCUGGUUCUGUGAGGAGGACAUAAAGAAGCUGUCUCAAGUGAUUAUGGAUGUGGAGAAACAAUUCAGGGAGACCCACACUACACGUCCAUCCUUAGAAGAACAGAACCAGGAGUUAAUCACUUCAGUCUCAGAACUUAAUUCAGCAGAGCCGGUAUCAGCUACAUCUAUUCAAGGAGAUCAAGCCAAAGAAUCAUCAGCUGCCAUUCAGAAAGAUGAGCAGCCUGUUCAGAACGUCAUGGUUCCUUUCAAACAAGCCAUAGUACCAGAAGAGACACCCAGGGAACCACAGACAGCUUGCAAAAAGAGACAACUGAUUGUCUUUGACCCGUGUGAUUUCCAAAAGACAUUCUUGGGUAUUUUUCUGUUCAAUCCCUUUGUCUGGAACAAGACCAGAGCAGUAGAGCUUUCAAGACACGAACUGGGCAUGGAACAUGUUGUAUUUGAGCCUGGAGGAGAGUUGUGGAAUCACAGGAACAAUCCCAUAGUGAUUGAGAAGAAAUCGGCAGCAACAACAAUUGUUUUUGGUGAUCUUUUACCCUCUGAAGCUAAAGGGAUGCACGUCUCAGCUCAGCAAGAUUUUCACUACGAAACCAAUUGGAGAAUGUUACCAACUCUUUCCUGGAUCCAACAAACCGGAAAACGCAGCAAAUGGCCACCUGAUCAUCAAGAUAUUGUCAAUUCCGCAAAACAUAUCGGUUUAGCCAAAUUCUGUGAGCUGCUUAUAUCAGAUUGGGCUGGAAGGUUACAGAUCUACUUGUGGAAACCUGGAGCAUAUGACAGCACACUUAUCAUCCUUGGAGAGUGCUCUGCUCGUGCUAGAACCAGCUUGGGUAAUAAGGAGUUGGAAGCUGAUCAAAAUGCCUUGCUUCUUGAUCAUGUCAAGGUGUGGAAGCCACCAGAUUUGCAAAAGCUUCAAUACCAUUUCAGAGAUUGUAAAACCAAGAGUGGAAAUGGAGAUUUCACUAGAGAAAAUGGUGAAGUGAUUACUGGAGCAGGAGGAAAACUCAUGUUUUCUUCUCAAAUCAAGGAGAAACCACCAAAUGGACUCAGUCUAAAACAAUCUCCAAAUAAACCAACCCGAGGAAAUUAUCUAGAUUCAAAGAAACGCAUGAAACCUGAUUUGCUUUCUAUCGGUACAGGUCAAACAGUUUUGCGUGCUAUAAUUUCCGAAAGGAGAAACUAUGGUAAUGAUUAGAGUACCAAGAAUGGAUCCUUGGCUAAAUUGGAGAUGCAACAAUCAAAUCUUGGAAGCUGUCUAGCCGCCAGCUUUGACAUAGGAGCAGUCCGAGGAUCAUAUCUCAGCAACCAGAAGGAAUUAAGAAACAAACUCAACGGCAAUGGAAACCUAACUCAUCAGGGUCUCACGUCGAAUUGAAAUCAGGUCCAAAGCUUCUCAAAUGCAAGAGUUAUGGGUUCUACAAGUCGGUUGAUUCUGUGUUUGCUUUGUCUAAACUUUUCUGAGUUUAGAACAUCUCAAUCCUAUCUAUGGCGACCAGGUGAGCAUGCUAAGGUAACUAAUCAUGUUUUCAAGAGUUAUUUUAUUAAUUACACAGAUAUGAUGCACUUGUUUUUGUCAAAAGAAUCAUGUGCAGAUUAUAUGGAAGCUUUGAAGCAUGCAAAGACAAAGAACAAGCGUGAGGUAGACAAACGUUUCAAGCCACCUGAUCUAAGCCAGGAGAGACAUCAGGACGUCACUUGCUUCAUCCUCAUCAAAGAAGCACCUCCAGAUGCAGCAUACAAGCCAAAACCGAGAAAAUACAACUUUGGGAUAAGACUCUUACUCUAUGAUGAUUUUGCUUGUGUUCACUUGUUUUGUUUCAAUGUAUCAGGUUUAAGUAAUGCCUCAGGAGUAAGGAGAGCCAAAUGGCCCUUCUACAUAAUAGAACCAGUCAGCAACAAUGCCUAUCAAAGAGGCUUGCAAGGUAAGUGUAAUCUGAUUAUAAACUUUAAUGUUACUGACUUGGCUCCUUUUGUUGCAGAUGAGCUAGAUUUGAGGACAAAUCCUUUUCAAGAGGGAGGGGAUGAUAUGAUCAUGGACCAGUCAAACAAAGAUGAUAAUGAGAGCAUGGAUGAUCCUGCUGAUGGAGGAGCUCUACAUGGAGGAGCUCUAGCCAUAUCUGAAGGUCCUAUGACUCGAGCCAGAAGCAAGCAACUCAAAGAAGCCAUUGGAGGAUUACUUAAGACAUCACUGAAGCAAGAAGAGAGUCUUGGAAGAAGCUUGAUCAACCAAGACACACUUGCCACAAUUCAAGCCAUCUCAGCUCUAAGAUAGACAUCAAAUGAGCAAGUAACAUAUGUGUGCUCUUUUUCCCUAUCUUUGGUUUUGUCCCACUGGGUUUUCCAAAGAUAGGUUUUUAAUGAGGCCAUAUGUUGCUUUCCUAUCACUCAUUUGAUGAUCUCAGUUCAAGACUUAAUUUUAAUUAUUUAUCUUUGUUGACAUGAAGCAGAAUUAGGCUGCUAGACUUGAGAAUUAAUCUGCCAGACUUGAAAACCCAUAUAAGGUUUUAUAAGGUUUAUUUUUAGGCCCAUUUAGAGACCAAGGAGCCUGUUCCUUGCCUUCUCUAUAAAUAUGUGUCUGAAAACCCUAAUAGAACUAUCCAUCUUUUUAUCAAAAACCCUUGUUUUCUCUUUUCUUCUUGCUUGUCGAGUCGAUUGAGUGUUGGUGUGUAAUAUCCAACUUCUGGUAUGUAAUAUCCAGAGUCUAAGGGCUUCUUAUUUGGUGUCUCAUAUCCAGAUCAGUCGCCUAGGAGUAUCAAGAGAUAAUCCAUCCCUCUUGUGUCACCAUUCGAUCCACAUACCUUGAGAAACUUGAGUCUUUUGAUUCGUUUCUGCAAGGAUUAUCCCAUCUGUUCCAGAGCAUCAUCC
rnacentral:lncRNA from 1 species